GAACAAACGCUGGCGGCGUGCCUAACACAUGCAAGUCGAACGCGAAAGGGACUUCGGUCCUGAGUAAAGUGGCGCACGGGUGAGUAACGCGUGGGUAAUCUGCCCCUCAGUUGGGAAUAACCCAUCGAAAGGUGGGCUAAUACCGAAUAAUGCUGUAUCGCCUCGGUGAUUCAGCCAAAGACGGCCUCUGCUUGCAUGCUGUCGCUGAGAGAUGAGCCCGCGUCCCAUCAGCUAGUUGGUAAGGUAAUGGCUUACCAAGGCGAUGACGGGUAGGGGGCCUGAGAGGGUGGCCCCCCACAAUGGAACUGAAACACGGUCCAUACACCUACGGGUGGCAGCAGUAGGGAAUAUUAGUAAUGGGCGAAAGCCUGAACUAGCAACGCCGCGUGUGCGAAGAAGGCCUUCGGGUCGUAAAGCACUUUUUGGAGGGAUGAGGAAGGACAGUACCUCCAGAAUAAGCCUCGGCUAACUACGUGCCAGCAGCCGCGGUAACACGUAGGAGGCAAACGUUAUCCGGAUUUACUGGGCGUAAAGCGCGUGUAGGUGGUUUGGUAAGUAGGGCGUGAAAGCUCCUGGCUCAACUGGGAGAGGACGUUCUAAACUGCCAAGCUUGAGGAUGGUAGAGGGAGGUGGAAUUCCGGGUGUAGCGGUGGAAUGCGCAGAUAUCCGGAGGAACACCAGUGGCGAAGNCGGCCUCCUGGACCACUCCUGACACUCAGACGCGAAAGCUAGGGUAGCAAACGGGAUUAGAGACCCCGGUAGUCCUAGCCCUAAACGAUGUAGACUNNNCGUCGGUGGUUUAAUCGCCAUCGGUGUCGUAGCUAACGCGAUAAGUCUACCGCCUGGGGACUACGGCCGCAAGGUUAAAACUCAAAGGAAUUGACGGGUCCCCGCACAAGCAGCGGAGCGUGUGGUUUAAUUCGAUGCUACACGAAGAACCUUACCUGGGUUUGACAUAGAGGUAGUAGGGAAGCGAAAGCGGACCGACCCUUCGGGGAGCCUCUACAGGUGUUGCAUGGCUGUCGUCAGCUCGUGUCGUGAGAUGUUCGGUUAAGUCCGCUAACGAGCGCAACCCUCGCUGUGUGUUACAAGUGUCACACGGUACUGCCGAUAUUAAGUCGGAGGAAGGUGGGGAUGACGUCAAGUCAGCAUGACCUUUAUAUCCAGGGCUACACACACGCUACAAUGGCCAGUACAAUGGGUUGCCAAGCCGCGAGGCGGAGCCAAUCCUAAAAAGCUGGCCUCAGUUCAGAUUGCAGUCUGCAACUCGACUGCAUGAAGUUGGAGUUGCUAGUAACCGCAGGUCAGCAAUACUGCGGUGAAUACGUUCCCGGGGAU
rnacentral:rRNA from 1 species